rnacentral:rRNA from 1 species
CCUACGGGAGGCAGCAGUCGGGAAUAUUGCGCAAUGGACGAAACUCUGACGCAGUGACGCCGCGUGCAGGAAGAAGGCUUUCGGAUUGUAAACUGCUUUAGACAGGGAAGAAAAAAGACAGUACCUGUAGAAUAAGCUCCGGCUAACUACGUGCCAGCAGCCGCGGUAAUACGUAGGGAGCAAGCGUUAUCCGGAUUGAUUGGGUGUAAAGGGUGCGUAGACGGAGAAGCAAGUUAGUUGUGAAAUCCCUGGGCUUAACUGAGGAACUGCAGCUAAAACUGCGUCCCUUGAGUGUUGGAGAGGAAGGUGGAAUGCGUGGUGUAGCGGUGAAAUGCAUAGAUAUUA